rnacentral:rRNA from 1 species
AUCUAUGGCCGUGCCACUCUGAAUAAGCCCAAUCCUGUCUGAUUUCGGAAGCUAAGCAGGGUUGGACCUGUGUGGUACUUGGAUGGGAGACCACCUAGGAAGACCAGGUGCUGUAGGAG